rnacentral:rRNA from 1 species
CACGGGUGAGUAACACGUAUGCAAUCCACCUGUAACAGGGGAUAACCCGGAGAAAUCCGGACUAAUACCCAUAAUAUGGGCGCUCCGCAUGGAGAGUCCAUUAAAGAGAGCAAUCUUGGUUACAGACGAGCAUGCGCUCCAUUAGCCAGUUGGCGGGGUAACGGCCCACCAAGGCGACGAUGGAUAGGGGUUCUGAGAGGAAGGUCCCCCACAUUGGAACUGAGACACGGUCCAA